rfam:Oleiphilus sp. HI0065 HI0065_c26, whole genome shotgun sequence.
GCCCUAAACUGUACGUAUGCGCGGUUUCUGGGUUUUAACUUAGCAUAUUGAGGAAAAUAUCAUGGCACUAAGUGCAGCUGAAAAAGCAGAAAUUCUUAAAGAUUACCAACAAGCUGAA